UCAGGUCAGAGUGUUAUUGUCGUCGAAGGGAGAAGACGCAUCUUCCUGAGGACUUUUUAUUGUUGACAGUAACACGAAUGUCUGAAUGUUGUGCGUGCAUAGAAAUAACCACAACAAUAAGUUUCCAAAUCAUUCGGAUUACCACAGUCAUAUAAACAUCUUCAAAGGAAACAGCUGUGUCUGUGUGUGGUGGUGACUAUCAAGAGUGCAGUGAUGGGCCUCAACAACAUGUUCCAACCGACAGCACUAUAGAGUACAGAACCAAACCAAUCAGUUGCAAGUCUAUAGCGGGUGAGGGUAUUCACAGCCGACCGCUCAGACGGGUGAGGGCAUACCAGCCAACCGUUUUUACGUGGUCCUUCUAGUCGGAUUUAGUGACCAAAAGUUUUUUACAUGGUCCAUCAUUUCUCCGGAUUUAGGGACCAAUAGUUCUUACAAAGAGUAAUCCACAACCAUAUAAUUACCUGCCACUAACUCCAGAUACAGUGUGGCUGUAACGGCUGUCGUAGUCGUUCUCCUCCUCAGACGAGGAGGAGCAUGGAUCGGACCAAGAUGUGGAUUGGGAUUUGUGAAGAGACAGGCUAUUUUUGCCUGCAACACACCUGCUGGGCUCUGCCUUGCCUGCACCAACCAUUGCCAUGACGGGCGUCUUUGAGCUCUACACAAAAAGGAAUUUCCACUGUGACUGGCAAGUUUAAGUGCCAGCUGAAGUCUCCUAUUUUCCAAUCUACCCCUCAGUCAAGUCUUCCUGACAGCUGAACAUUGAUGGCUGAUUUCCUCUGUCCUUUUCCUUUUGCAGGGCAAAGACUGACAAAACAUUAAAAACCAAUACAAUCACAACUUCCAUGGCUGUUACUGUACCUGUGACAGACCUUACCCAGACACUGAUGAUCAGGUGUGGGUUUCAUUCCAGCGUUACGCACCCAUUCAUUUUCUCCAUCACUAUUGAUGAAUGAAUGUUUUAUUUCUGUCGGAAUCAUACGCUAUGUUGAUAUGCUAGAUCUCUAGGAUUCAGUUAGUGUGUUGUUGAAAGAAGGAUGGCUAUGUCAUUCUAAAUCACAAAACACCAUGUCAUGGUCUUUAUAUUUCCCAUGAGGUUAAUGAGGAUAUGAUUCAGUGUAUCAUCUCUGAGGACUGGUAUCAUCCUAGGGUAUGUAUCGGGCUAACAUCAUGAUUGUUGUCAGUUCUCUUUCGAGAUCUAAACUAUGUUAGCCGGGAUAAUGGUUUUGGUACAAAGACAGGAAUGAUUACUCCUCCUUGACCAUGUGGGCCUCUCUGUGACAGCACUUGGGUUGUAUGGUGGAAAAGACUGAGGAGAUGGAGAGUGAGACCUGUAUGAGCAAAGCCCCCUUCCUUUGGACCUACUUCGCCCACUUAGCAGGUGUGUUAUUAUUCCUUCCACUGACAGAGAGUGCUAGGGAUCCAGAGCUCUGGGCUUGGGUUACAAAAAACACCAACCAUAAAUGAGUACUGCUUUUUAAAUCUCUUGCCCCUAGCUAACUAAAGAUUGGAGAUAACGGUACUGUUCAUUCAUUCAUUCAGUUGAGAGAAUGACAAAAGUGUGCAAAGCUAUCAUCAAGGGAAAG